UGGGGAAUUUUGGACAAUGGGCGAAAGCCUGAUCCAGCAAUGCCGCGUGUGUGAAGAAGGCCUUCGGGUUGUAAAGCACUUUUGUCCGGAAAGAAAUGGCUCUGGUUAAUACCUGGGGUCGAUGACAGUACCGGAAGAAUAAGGACCGGCUAACUACGUGCCAGCAGCCGCGGUAAUACGUAGGGUCCAAGCGUUAAUCGGAAUUACUGGGCGUAAAGCGUGCGCAGGCGGUUGUGCAAGACCGAUGUGAAAUCCCCGAGCUUAACUUGGGAAUUGCAUUGGUGACUGCACGGCUAGAGUGUGUCAGAGGGGGGUAGAAUUCCACGUGUAGCAGUGAAAUGCGUAGAGAUGUGGAGGAAUACCGAUGGCGAAGGCAGCCCCCUGGGAUAACACUGACGCUCAUGCACGAAAGCGUGGGGAGCAAACAGG
rnacentral:rRNA from 1 species